UUAAUGUGUGUGUGUGUGUGUGUGUGUGUGUGUGUGUGUACACACACACACACACACACACAACGUAGGAUUAG